GGCGAGUUGGUGAAGCGGCUUAACACACUGCCCUUUCACGGCAGCAUACACGGAUUCGAAUUCCGUACUCGUCACCA
rnacentral:tRNA from 1 species